GAUUUCGGUGUCUAAUUAUGCUACUAAUUCAAUUAAAACUGAGAAUUAAGGUUUGAACAGAGGGAGAAAACAAGUUCUUGGAAGAGAUGAUUCAUCAAGCUCAACUUCCUAUUAGUACUCGGAUCAGACAAAUAUUGGACUUGGAUUGAAUAAUAUUAUUCUUCUUAUCACUCAUUUGAAUCCGCGACACGAUCUUGCACAUGGGUUACCACUAUUAGCUCCACAAUAAAGGUUAGAAUAACCUCAACUAGGCUAACCAAUAAUGAUCGCCGAGAAGUUCUAUAAAGUGAUAAGGUUCUCUUUAAGAAAGAAAGGAAAUCAAAAGUAAUUGGAAAUAGUGUUCACUUGGUCCAUCAACACCUAAGCUACUGAUAACUACACCCAACUUGGUCCAUUAGGUGCCAACCAGGGUGCCCGCCAAUUAUUUGAUGAACAACCGUUAUACCCAAAAGAAGCACGAAAGGUAGAAUCGAGCUAUUGGCUUACUCCACUGAUAACUUUGGUCUAUCUUAGUUUGCUAAUUAUAUGAAUUCCUAUGUUGAUCAAACAAAGGGUUUCAUAGAUUUGACCUAAUUCAAGUCGUAACAAGAGAAAGGUUGAAAACGCAACAAUCAAAGUAAUCUUUCAUUCAAUUCCAAAUAUCCAACAAUCGCCGACCCUAAACUUUUAGGGAGAGUAUCAUGGCUCUCUACAUCCCAACCAAAAAACUCUAAAGAUUUAGCUAUUCAUAACUCUAGAAGAAGAGGAAAUAGAAAAGGACAUAACCACCAUCUUGAUGAAGAGAUAAUGAAUCGAGCUCGCUUCAAUCUUUGCUUUUAGCCUUCUAGCUUCAAUCUUCAAUGGGAAAUCCUUCGAAUCUUUAAUUGGACUUCUAGGGAUUAAUAGAUGAUGGUUUUAUAGAGGAAAAUCGCGGGGGGGGGGGGGGGGUUGGGUUUUGUGUGUUGGGGAGAACUUUUUUUUUCCUUUAAUAUACACGUUUUUUUUCUCUUUCCUUAAAUCGCACCGUUUAUAUGGCCAUUUCGUGAACAGAGGGGUGCAGGGCGCGUGCACCCCCUUAUUUCGUCGUGAGAUUUUUCAAGUUUAGGGCCUACAGGGCAUGCAUUGAUGCACGACGUGCACUGAUGCAAGGCGCACAACCCUUUUUCUUCAACAACUUUUGCAACGUCGUCCCAUUUAAGCUCCAACCGUGCUAUAAUCUACGUCUGUAGCCUUGUAACCAUAUCAAAUGUCUCUAAAGUAACUUUGGAUAAAAAUACUACAAGAAACACAUCAAAUGGCCCGAAAUGGUCCAAAUGAACGAGUCUAUGCAAUACAAUGCCAAGAUGCAAAAUCACAAAGAAUUGAAACACAAAUGAGCUAGUAUUCACUCAAAAAGCAUGCAGAUAUGGUGAGAUAAAUACUAUAAAUCCUAGCACUAUCAGUGUGGGAUUCCCCAAUUUCCAUGCUUUAAACUGACACUCUUGGGAAAACAGGGUUGUAACCUUUGUACCAACUUUGAUGCUCUUGUUUUGAGAGUUUUCUACGCUAAAUACUAUAACAAUGGCGAUUUCCUUAACGCGGAGUUGGGGUACUGGGCGAGCUAUGUGUGGCGGAGUAUUCUUUCUUCCCAAUAGAUCAUUCGACCAGGUUAUCACUAGAAUAUUAGGGAUGGAUCGUCCAUUAGAGUUUUUGUUGAGCCCUAGCUGCCGGGGGAGGAAAAUUACUUUAUGAAAACGCCUCCUAGUCUGAAACUUAUAAAAUUGAUGGAGAAGUAUUUGCUUAUUCCUAACAUUCAGGAUUGGGAUGAGCCAAACCUUGCUACUUUUUUGUGACAUGGAUGUUGGCAGAAUUCUUGUAAUGCGGCCACCUCAAUCAAAUGUUGCAGAUACCAUAAUUUGUGAGCUAAGUUCUAAUGGCAGCUUCACAGUUCGAACAACUUAUAGAUUGGUGACCGAUUACAUUAGCGCUCUUCAACACUUGGAGGUUACGAGGGAUUGGAAGCACCUUUGGAAAGUGGAAGUUUGGCCCUGUAUCAAGCCGUGUGGCGAUGUGUUCGUGACGCUAUCGAAAACCAUCAUCACCUCGAUCAACAUGGUACUUGAUACUUGUGGUUGAUGCGAUAUGUUUGAUGAACUACUGCAACAUUUAUUCGGGCUCUGCCCUAUUGCACAAGAUGUGUGGCAAGAAGCGGGACUCCCUACUUGGCUUCACCACCUUUGGCGAACUGUCAUUCAUAGGGAGAUUGGCUACCUGUGUGUCUCAAUUUGAGUGCAUCUUUCGUCAAAGCGUAUGUCUUCGUCCUCGUUACGGGAAUUUGGCAUGAGAGAAACGAUAGAGUUUUGAAGUCCUCAUCACACACGACUUCCACAAUUGUUCAAGUGAGCAUUGAUCAUUAUGAAAAAUGGAAGCAGGCUUUCAUCAACCACAAUUGAACCAGCCUCUGCCUACAUAUUAUCCAUGUUCAAUCCACUAGAGAUCGGCUAGGUCAAGGUUUACACAUACUUUGCAACUUUCCAACCUGACCAACAUUGUUGGAUGAGCCUCAUAAUUUAAGAUUUCACGGGGCAUUUCCUUGGAUUCCUUACGCGCACUCUACCCUGAUGAAUGCCGCCCCACAAAAGGAAAACUCUUUGCACUCUUGCUCGCCAUGCGUUGGACCCAAGCCAAAGGCCUUUCAAGAGUAAUCCUUGAAACUGACAGCCUCACGGCUUGAAAUGCAAUCUGAAAUUGCAAUGGCGACCUUAGCGAGAAAGGGCAUAUUGCUAGACUAUCUAGUUCCUUCCUUUCUUGUAAUACCACGUGUGAAGUGACUUUUGUGAGGAGAAUUCGAAACCGAGAUACCCACUAGCUGCCCAUGAGUCUGGUCACUCGCGUUUCUUAGCUUCACCUUUUAUGGGCAUAGCUACUCCUUCCUGAUUAUGUAAUUUUGUAUCCCAUGUUUGCCACUUGAAACUUAAUGAAAGUCUUAACACCUUUUUUCAAAAAUUAGUAUCAAUGUCUAUAAAUUCCAUUGUGCAACUCCUACAUUAUUAUACUUUAUGAGUUAUUAUUCUUAUUCAAUUUUAAUUAUAACAUCAAUAAGACUUAUAUUACUUGAGCCUAUAAAUUGUGUUCUCUCGAUAUUGUAAGAGAUAUAUCAAUAAGAAGUUAAUCUCUUCUUCCUCUACUAUUGUGUACUUUCUCUAUAGUCUAAAUCUAAUGUUGUUAUACUUUCAUCUACAUCGAUCUACAUCAUUCUUAUAGCACUAUUAUUUUUUUACAAAAAAUAUACUGAUUAUUUUUUUAGUUAGGACCACUAAAUAUAUUUAUUUAUUUUAAUUAAAAUGCAUUUAGUUUGUUAUUUAUAAAAUAAUUAAAAAGUUACGAUACUUUCUAUAAUUGCUGCAAUUCCAUAUUAUGCAAAUUUAUAUAAAAAAGUAAUCCUCACAUCCAUGUAAUUCACACUCCCAUUUAGAUUUGGUAGCCACAUAGAUGUCAUGUCAUUUUGCAACUUCGUCAUUUACAUGGAUGUGGAUAUAGCCUUAAACCACUUAUUCUUCAAUUGAUUGUCUUGUCUCAUAUGUCAAAGAUAGUUCUUCGCAAUCUCCUCCCAAUGACCUUUCCGACUCGCUCCAUUCUCAUAACUAGACCUUCAAACUCCGAUACCGAGAAAUCACCCUUCAACAACACUGCUCGGGCCUUGGCAUCCUCUCCAAGAUCUUUCUGGGCGGAUGCACUAUAUGGGAAGUUCUAUGUAAUCAAGAUAGAUACCAUAUUAGAAUACAUAUCACGCUUUUGAAGUAUGGAUAGAAGAUAUGACAAUGAGGACAAGUCCAUCCUCAUUGCAUAAUAAACCUAAUUACAUUUAUUCGGUGGUGAGGAUCCUUGACUAUUUAUUAAGAUGGACGUCAUCCUAGUCUAGUAGUUUGUAGUUCCAAGGCAGUUUCCGCGUAAGUAAUAUGUAAGAACCAACACACAAAUGGAAGCAAUCGGAAGGCAGCGUGGCUAGCAUAAUCAUCUUUGCCACAUUUCCCAAUACAAUUAGAUCACAACACUCAAAAUCUUCCAUUGCAAUUGUUAACCAAGUUGUGCAUUCGGUGCUCUCAACCCAUCGUCAAAAGUAGAGCAAAAUAGGCACAGGGCACGAGUCUUUUAAGUUGUUUGGCACAUGAAGUGUGGCAUUUUCCCCACCCCCACCAUUGCCGGCAGCGAUUGCUGCAACUGAUGAAAUUGAGAUACCAUGUCCCCAAAAUAAAAAUAAAAAUUGUUGUCUUUAUCCCACCACAUCUCUCGUAUCCUAUUUACCAUAUCCACAUUUUACAAGAACAAAACAACACUUGUUAUAAAAUGGGUAAGGUAGAAAGAGAUCUCAAAAUUUUGAAAGUGAGCAAGUUAGGAAAGUGAGAGUAGAGAAAAUGAACAUAUAAUUAUUUUUGCCUUAAAAAAAAAGAGGGAACAUAGAAAAGAGAGAAAGAAUACUAAUAAGACAUCUCACAUAGAGAUAAAAAAAUCUUUCAUAUUUUAAAUUAAAAAUUUGUAAAAACAAACAAUAAAAAUCAUUUAAAACGUAUAAAUUCUCGGAUAUCCCUGAGAGAAUUUAUACCGUCAAAUGAUGUCUAACGUUUUGACGGGAUAACAGCCUUUCAAUGUAUCUUUUGGAGCGAUCCGAAAAACUAACCUAUGGGCUGGUUAGCAAUUUUAAGAUGGAAGGGGAACAGACAUCCAUAGACGAGAGAGAGAGAGAGAGAGAGAGGUAGAAAAAAAAAUAUAAAUAUAUAUAGGGAAGAAACACCCAACCGCCAAAAUCGAAAGGAAAAAAGAAGGGAACAAUAAAAAAAAAAAAUGUCUAAACGGUGAUUUCCUGUUCCCUCCUUCCUUCUUUCUCUCUUCUCGUUGUUUUCUUCCAUACCCUCUUCAUCCAUCGAUACCGAUUCCAUUUCUUUACUUGCUUUCUUUUAUCGCAACCGUUCUUUCGUCCGUUGAUGAAUGUUUAGAUGAUAUACGAACUAAGUUAUGCGGAGCAACUGGGUUCCUGUUUUCUUUCUCUAUACUGUUUCUGUUUGGAGGCAUAGGGUUAGAACGAACCCACCGGAUUAUUCCAUUUCGCUCGCGCACCAUCCUUAUUGCAUUGUCCCCUUCCUUAUGAUUAUUGCCAUCUUGUUUUGUACCGUUUAGUAAAUAAAGCUUUUGAUUGUUUGCACUUCCCCUUACUGAGUGUAUAGUUAUUGGCUCCGAUGCUACUGAAUUAUCCCUGCCCAGUUUUCUGUAUGUUCAAUUUCGCCUCCUCUGCUACCUUUGUUGAUAUCUUUGUUCACUUUCUACUGAUUUCAGGGUGCUGUGCAAGUUUUUUGCUCACGGGGCGUGUUUGAAAGGGGAGCAUUGUGAAUACUCACAUGACUGGAAGGAUCCUUCAAGCAAUGUAAGGAUGUUACUAAUAAUUUGUUAUUGCUCUUGCAUUCUCUACUUUGGAUUUCUCACUCACAAUUUGUGUCUCUAUAGGUUUGCACCUUUUACCAGAAGGGGAAAUGCUCAUAUGGUAGUCGAUGCCGGUACGACCAUGUCAAAUUUUCUAGGCCUCAGUCUGCUGCUUCAUCCUCUACCACCAUUGCUUACGGGAAUGUAAGGGUUGGAUCCAAUGGUGUUACUACGGUACCUGGUUUUCCUUCCGAGCUCUCCCCCGGCAGCAGAUCUUUCCUUCCAUCCAGUCAUCCAACAUGGCGUUCGGAGUCUGGGGUGCGUGAGAUUGCUGAGCAUGAUGAUACGGUAGAGCUGAAAAAUGUGAAACCAUCAGACCGUCCAAUCUGUUCUUUUGCUGCUGCUGGAGAUUGCCCUAGAAGUGAUCAAUGUCCUCAUAUUCAUGGUGACUUGUGCCCCACCUGUGGGAAGAAUUGCUUGCAUCCUUUCAGGCCCGAGGAAAAAGAGGAGCAUUUGAGAACAUGUGAGAAGAAGCAAAAACACCUUGAUGCAUUGAAACGGAGCCAAGAAAUUGAAUGCUGUGUGUGUUUGGAGAAAGUGCUGUCAAAGCAGGCUGCAGCGGAACGGAAGUUUGGUUUGCUCUCUGAAUGUGAUCAUCCAUUCUGCAUAGGUUGUAUUCGGAAUUGGAGAAGCAUUUCACCAACUUCUGGAAUGGAUCCUACUUCUAUGUCUAGGACAUGUCCUGUAUGCCGCAAGCUAUCUUAUUUUGUUGUUCCCAGUGUGAUUUGGUACUCCACUCAAGAAGAGAAGAAUGAAAUAAUCGACAGCUACAAGUCGAAGCUCAGGUAAUUCUUAUUUUUUGCUGUUCUUUUCAAUUUGUGUGCACCCCCUAUUUAGUCGUUUAUAAUUAAUUUGUGUCCAAAAAAUGCUGAAUGCAUGCCUUGCUAAGAAGCUAAAGUAUGUUAACACAACUUUCACAUCUUCCAUCUCGCAGCUUGAUUGAUUGCAAGCAUUUUAACUUUGGUAAUGGAAACUGUCCAUUUGGUUCCAGUUGUUUUUACAAGGUAAAUCGUUCGCCAUCUGAUCUAAAAUUCUGAAACUUCUAUUUAAACGACUGAAUGCCUUGCCGUUUGUCCAUAUUUGUGAUGCGUACAUGUCAUGGUUACUGCUAGUUUGUUGCUUAUAAUUUCGUGUGUAGGCAUUUUUUUUUGUGGUCGUUAAUGAUCGCUCUUUUCUUCUUUAUAUAAUGAUGGGUCAAUCUCUUCCUUCUAUGUUGCCAACUUUUCUGUACCAUUUAUCCGUGGUAUUAAAUUUUUCCCUGAGGUUUGGCUUUUCGUGAUAUGCGCUUGUUGUACAAAUGCUUUCUCUGUGUGCAUGUUAUGACAUUACUGACUUACCUAUAAUUCAGAUUAUGGAUUGCUUACGAAGCCUUCUUUUAAAUCUUUCUUUGCGUAGUUUAAAUUUUAAUAGCUGAAAGAUUCUCAGGGGGUUUUGAUUAGUGGCCUAGGCAUUCUCUUGCCCAGUUAAAUUCCUUGCCAGUUUAAGGGAUUAGGGUUCUAGGUUAUGCUUACUUUCUAUUAGCUAGUAUUAAUGACCAGCUUUCUGUUAGCACUUCCCCUUUUCAUUUUGCAGUUGGUCGUGCCAUUGUUUACUCGGCAUAAGUUUGUUUCGGGAGAAUGUUAGUUUCAUGACUCCUUUAAUGGAUGUAAUGUUCUAUUCUGUUCCAGCACCAUGUCAAGCCUGGCUCAUAUGUAUGGAAACACCACAGACCACCACCACGAGGGCCUCGUCAACGCCGAACCAAUGCUGUGGAUUUGGAUCAGUUUUUUUUAGAGCAGAUAAUGGCGGAAGAUGAUCCGUGGGAUUCGGAAUUCCUUGAUUACGAUGACUACUGUGAUCCAUUUAAUCCAGAAUAUCUCGAUGAUGAUGAUUUUCCCUUUUUGGAUUCUGAGGAUGUAUCACCUUUCGGGAUGGCUUUAUUACUAGCUGGGAUGAGUUCUGAUAUCGCUGAACUUUAUAGUGACGAGGAUGACUAUUAAGCUAUUCAUUAGGGAUGCCUCGUGCAUAUUGUCUUUCGGUGACCGUUCUUAGUUUAGUGAUAUGGUAUCAUGAUAGUGUAGCUGGGGUGAAGCUUUUAGUUGUACAAACAAUCAAGUAUUGUGUCAUUCUUCUGGACAUUUUUUUCUUUUUGACCUUUGGCUCCAUCGAUUGGGUUCAAUCCCUCAGUUUAUAUAUUUGGCUUGUCGAUUAUCUCAGUUUAUUUAUAAUUGGAAGCUACAAUGUCUUGUCCAUUAUUUGUCUUGUAGGUGAUCGGCUUUGGAUUUUUGCACAUUUUUUUGUUUGAGUUUCUGCUAAUCACUAUUGUUUGAAGUUUUGUAUCUCGAGGUCAAGUGCUUGUGUGAUGCAUUGUUGGGGCAUUUUAAAGUCUGUUGAUUUUUGGAGUUAAAAUAUUAUAUUGAUAUGCUCAGUAUCUCGCUAUGUUUGCAUUGUGGAGCAUAAUCUGAUUGUCUUGUUGAAUAUGAAUUUGGUUUGGAUGCAUGUAACCAUGAAUCUUACUGCUUUGCAGCAUGCAUUUGGCGAUGGACGGCUAGAGGAAGUGGUUCUUCGGCAUCUUGGUUCUGAAGACGGGCACACUGUCGUAGCUAAAAAUAUAAGGUCACUAUUCCACCUAAUCGACUUCUGCGAUGUAUGACUUGUUUAUACUGAUUGUAUAUUUAAUUAAGUUGAUGUAUUAAUUCAAUGGUUGGUAUUUUCAGGCUGUCAGAUUUCCUUGGUAGACUCCAAAUUAGCUGAAUAAGGUGUCUUGCAAUAUUGCACUGUAAGAUAAACUCAUACCCGUUCUCCAUGGUUGCAGAGUUGCUAUCUGCUUCGUCGAGGUUUUAAUUUUUUGGGUUGAUAUUUGCAGGUAUCAGUUGGAUAAAAAUACCUACAAACUCUGUUUAAAGCGUUCUAAUUCCCAGAAUGAGACACUAGUAUAGUUGUCUGAAAGGUAAGAAUGUCAUUUAUACUGUACUAGUAUACAAUAGUUGUGGUGGUUGCUGGUAUUGUCUAAAUCCAUUAAGAUGGUGUGAUUGCAGAGUAAUUGUUGUUGGGCGACCGUGGAAGCUGCAAUGUGGAGUGCAGGCCAUUGGGGUUUCGCCUGAUUGUUGAAUAAACUUUGAUUGCAUAUGUGGGUUUUAGGGACAAGUAAUAAAAAUGCAAAUGAUUGCAGAGAGUGGGAAAUGGAUUUUGAAUAAAAGAUUUCGGUGUAUGUAUAUGUUAUAAUGAUUUCGGUGUAUACAUACAUACAUACAUACAUACAUGAGUGCGGCCUUCAGGCAGAGGAAUGUACUUUGUUUAGGAAUGAAUGAACCUCACAGGAAAAUAAAACUAGUUUUUGAGGUUAGGGGUUGGGGCAUUUCUAGUAGUGUGUGUGAAUUAUCCCUUUUGGAUUGUUUGAAUGUUUGUUGUUUGUAUGUGCAGUACAAUGGAAGUGAACAAGGAUCACUUUUUUACUCUAUAUAUGCUCCUUAUAAUGAACUAUUUGCUAUCUUCUUAAGA
rnacentral:lncRNA from 1 species